UACGUAGGCAGCGAGCGUUGUUCGGAGUUACUGGGCGUAAAGAGUGCGUAGGCGGUUUUCUAAGUUUGGUGUGAAAUCUCCCGGCUCAACUGGGAGGGUGCGCCGAAGACUGGAAGGCUUGAGUAUGGGAGAGGUAAGCGGAAUUCCUGGUGUAGCGGUGAAAUGCGUAGAUAUCAGGAGGAACACCGGUGGCGAAGGCGGCUUCCUGGACAAUUACUGACGCUGAGACGCGAAAGCGUGGGGAGCAAACAGG
rnacentral:rRNA from 1 species